GUCUCCAGCCGCGGGCGCACUCAUGUCUGAUGCAUGCGCUUGACUUCCUACUCACCUGAUUACUUUCGCGCCUUUAAUAUUGGACCGGUGGAGAAAGUGUCCGCUGUACCUUGACAUCUAGUGCCUGAAUAGUGAGUACUCCGUGCUGUUGCUCCCGCCGCGUGUAUCAGCCGCAGCCGCCACACGCGAGGACUGGCGUUCGGUUCCUCGUCGGUGGGACCGCUCCAUCAGAUCAGCCCAUUGGCUGAUCAGCGUCGCAACCGUGUGCCCGAAUGAGUGUCGGCGCGGCAUGUGGGCGGCGCUGCACAGCUGGCAGCGGUCGCAGCUGUGCAAGCUGCUGGCGGUGCUGGUGGCGGCGGCGCUGCUGGCGCAGUGCGCCUUCUCGCUGCUGGAGCCGCGCGGCCUGGAGCCGCUCUUCACCAUCAGCUCGCUGCCCCUGCGCCGGCCCGGCCCGGGCGCCGCCGGGGCGUACCG